AUCAGAUGCAUCAAAACACAGCUGUCAGGCAAACGAAAUCCCGGAUACCUGCGUGUUCAAUUAACCCUUAAAUCAUGGAGGUAUUACCGACGUAUAUGGAUGUGGAACACAGUAGGGCUUACAUUGACCAGCUGUACUCUAAUGAUAAUCAGAAAUGUUUUCAGGCAGUAAGUGAACUAAAAUUUGCAGUCAUUGGCAGUGUACGAGAGAAGGGAUCAAUUAUCGAGCAGGGUAUAGUAGUUAGACUCCUACAAAUUCUCCAAUCACAAGACAUGGACAUACUCCUCAAA